rnacentral:rRNA from 1 species
AUAUGCUUGUCCCAAAGCUUAAGCCAUGCAUGUCUCCGACGAGGGUAGCUUGAUCCGAAUCUGCGAAGGGCUCCGUAUAUCUAUUGUAACCUACCGCCACCGAGCUGCCAAGGCGGAUAACCCAGGUAAUCCUUGGGCUAAUACGUGGUACAUUCGGGCUUCGGCCCGGGUCUCGCGGACCUAAACCAACGGCCCCUUAAAAGGCUGAUCGUGAGGGACUGUGAGGGCGCCUAACCGACCCGCAAGGGACGGUGUGUGCGAUGGACUUUAGACCUAUCAACUAGACGGCAAGGGCAAGCCCCGCCGUGGUUACAACGGGUACAGAGGAUCAGGGUUCGGUCCUGGAGAGGUAGCCUUAGAGAUCGCUACCACUUCUAAGGAAGGCAGCAGGCGCGCAACGUUCCCAAUGGGGAUUCCCUGAGGACGUGACGGGGCAUAUCAAUACUGGGCCUUUAAAGCCCGGUAAUUGAAAUGGGGGCGGUUUAAAUCCCCCACCGAGUAACAAUUGGAGGACAAGUCUGGUGCCAGCACCCGCGGUAAUUCCAGCUCCAAUAGCAUCUAAUUAAGUUGUUGCAGUUAAAACGCUCGUAGUCGAAGCGGGCGCGCCUUGCUGCGCCAGUACAGCCCACUGUCCGGCCGCUUUCGGGCGUGUCGGCGUUGGGCGGGACCGCGUGGUGGAGCCGCCUCCUUGCCCUUGCGAGAAGACGGGCUUUCAUUAGUCCGCCAUCGCUCGCUUGGGCCCUUUACUUUGAGUAAAUUCGAGCGCUCAACGCAGGCCUACGGGCCUUUCAAUCCUGAAGACUCCAGCAAAGAAUAAUGGAACAAGAUACCCUCUUGGUCCGUUGGUACCACUCGGGAUAAUGAUCAAUAGGGGCGAUCGGGGUCGGCCACAUGGCAGGGGUAGGGGUGAAAUCCGUUGAUCCUUGCCAGGUGAACAAGAGCGAAAGCAGCCGACAAGUACGCUUUCUUUGAUCAAGAACGAAAGUCUGGGGAUCGAAGACGAUUAGAUACCGUCGUAGUCCAGACCCUAAAUGCUGCCGGCCAUGGAUGGGCGACAGUCCAUCCCGACCCUGCCUGCACCUUGUGGGAAACCAUAAGCGUUUGGGCUCCGGGGGGAGUAUGGUCGCAAGACUGAAACUUAAAGGAAUUGACGGAAGAGCACACAAGGAGUGGAGCCUGCGGCUUAAUUUGACUCAACACGGGAAAACUCACUAGGGCAAGAUAAUGGUACGAUGGACAGCAUAUCAGUGCUUUCCUGAUUCGUUUAGUGGUGGUGCAUGGUCGUUCUUAGUUCGUGGAGUGAUUUGUCUGGUCAAUUCCGCUAACGAGCGAGAACCCAACGUUGUCUAGUUGGGGCCUCGUGCAUGCCGCUUCGAUUCCGGCGGGCUUGGGGCGUGCUUCGGCGCCAACCCUGGGCCUCUGGAGGACUAGUGGCUGAAAACGCACCUGGAACCGGCCUGGCAGGACUGGCUUCGACAAGAGGCCGGAAGUGGGUCAAUAACAGGUCAGUGAUGCCCUUAGAUGCUCUAGGCUGCACGCGCGCUACAAUGGGUGGAGCAGCGGGUCCCCUGUGCUUAAUUGCAACGGGUAAUCCUGCAAAGCCCCCCAUGUCUGGGAUCGAGGCGUGUAACGCGCCUCGUCAACAAGGAAUUUCUAGUAGUCAUGGGUCACUAGCCCGUGACGAUUC